CCGGUGCCGGUGGUGGGGCAAACCUCAGCGAGGACGCUGAGUCCCUACGGGGGGUGAGUGUAGGGACGGCGAUACGUAACGCCUGCAUUCACUUAGGCAAAUCCCACAUCGGUAGUGAAGGGGAACGAAGUGUGCCUUAUAGGUGCAUGGAUACCUUCCACGUAUGCGAUGCGUUUUAAAACCGUGAGGGGCCGAGGCUCCAAAGCGGACAAUUUCGCAUGCGCCGGUGGCCUGGGCUGUUACAAUAGGCAGAGGGGGACUUUCCUAAAAAGCCUAAUAGCAAUUAACCACAUUGGAAAUGACGAAUCACACUCUGAAAGGAGGUUCCCUCCCAACAAAUGUCAAGAGGGAGCAAGGCGUGAUUGCUUUGUUGUCCUCCGACCGCCCCUCUUUCCACCUCUAAGUAGUGGUGUUGGUGUGUCUCGUUGCAAUCAUUCUGGUCAAUCCCUUUCCUGAACCAUAGGGAAGGGAUGACAGGAGAUGGCCCCUAUAGCAAAAUAAACCAACCCCUCAUUUGAAAGAGUAAAUAGAAUAGUGUCAGGAUUACGACAAUCUGACUUUUGAAUGACUAAGAAACUACUAAGAUCCCGCCCACCCCCAACCAAUUAGGGUAAAGUGUUCAUUCAUACCUUCAACAGCACUAAUAUAUUGUCCCAUGACCAUGUUUACUUCAUCUUCAAGAGCAAGCAUCCUAGCUCUUAGGGCCUCGGGCAACCCUGGAUCCUUACCUACUUCCUUAGUGAUUCCAAGAAGAUGCUUCAACCUCGUUAAGUUUUAGUUGGAUAUCACGGCCCAAUAAAUAUUUCCAAUUCCAUUUUGUAAUAUUUUCAUUCGGGAAUGGAACGACCUAUGUUGUUAGGGAGGAGAGAAGGUGAACCAGCUUUCUUUGGUCGGCUCUCCCGUCUAGUUAAGUAGUUUUUUCUCCUUCCUACUUAAUUUAUUAUAAUAUAAUCUUAAGCUGCUACGUGGCCUAUUGGGAGCUUUUUAGUCAUAGUGGGAGCUUUCAAAAAUCACUUAGCAGGUCAAGAUUAUAGGAAGAGGGAAGAACAAGGGAGAAGAUCUUAUUUAAAAGAAGACGAUUCCAAAAGAAAGUCAAAACGGGGAAUAGAGUGCCUUAAAGGUAAAUAAGAAAGAUCCUAAAUAAAAAAUAAAAUACCUACUAAACCAAUUACAAGAAUACCAGUUACAGUACCUAUUAUCCAAAGAGGAAUCCUUCCAGUAGUAUCGGCCAUUUACCUCACUUCCCUCCAGAUUUCAUCAAGUGGUCAUGCUAGAGACAUAAACAGCCUUGGAUAAUUAAAUUAUGAGAUCCUUCCGAACGAGCUAAGAGAAUCUUAUUUAUUCUCUUUCAUUUUGAUAAUUGAAGAAAUAAUUGGAAAAUAAAAAAGCAAGUACAAAAAUGAGUAAUAACCCCCAGUAGACACUGGUACGAUGAAAUUCAACAUUUUGUUCGUUCGGGUUUGAUUGUGUCGUAGAUCUAUAGUUCGGAUGUUCUUUAUCAUUAGAUGAACUACUGAUAUUGAUCCCCAAAAAAACACGGUAGGUACAGCUAGGCCGUGAACAGCCAACCAUCGUACUGUAAAAAUGAGAUAGGUUCAAUCUAUAGUCACUAGGGCCUCCUAAAAUGAUCUACUAAAUUCAUCGAGUUUUUCUAAAGGAUCAAAAUGGCCAGUUAUUAAUGAAAUUCCUUGUCAGAUAAGUUUUGACCCGCACAAAAGGCAUAACGAUCUGGGAACUAUCUCGGAGAGAGGCUCGAUGAAAUAGACAUGUCUAUGAAGAUGUGGACUACCUGCACCUGUACAGAAAGAACCUAUGAAGCUUCGCUAUUCCCUGGGAUUGGAUUUGGUCCUUUCCUGCGCAGCUUAGGUGGAAGGCAAAGAAGACCUCCUUUUGGGGGGGACCAAGCCAUCAGUGAGAUACCACUCUGGAAGGGCUAGAAUUCUAACCUUACGUCAGGACCUACGGGACAAGGGACAGUCUCAGGUAGAUAGUUUCUAUAGGGUGUAGGCCUCCUAAAAGGUAACGGAGGCGUGCAAAGAUUUCCUCGGGCCAGACGAAGAUUGGCCCUCGAGUGCAAAGACAGAAAGAAGCUUGACUGCAAGACCCACCCGUCGAGCAGGGAUGAAAGUUGGCCUUAUUGAUUCGACGGUGCCGAGUAGAAGGGUCGUUGCUUAAUGGAGAAAAGUUACUCUAGGGAUAACAGGCUAUCUUCCCCAAGAGCUCACAUCGAUGGGAAGGUUUGGAACCUCGUUGUCAGAUCUUUUCCACCUGGGGCUGUAGUAUGUUCCAAGGGUUGGGUUAUUCGCCCAUUAAAGCGAUACGUAAGAUGGAUUUAGAAUGACGUGAGACAGUUUAGUCUAUAUCUAAUGUGGGCGUUAGAUCAUAGAGAGGACAUUUCCCUAGUACGAGAGAACCAAGAAGGACACACCUCUAGUGUACCAGUUAUCAUACCCAUGGUAAAUACUGGGUGGCCAAGUACAGAGCGGAUAACUGUUGAAGGCAUCUAAGUAGUAAUCCCACCCCAAGAUGAGUGAUCUCCUAUUCCGACUUUCCCAGAGUUUCCGGUAGCAUAGCCGAGACAGUGAUGGGUUCUCUACCCCUGCGGAGAUGGAGCGACAGAAGUUUUUUUGAGAAUUCAAGAGAAGGUCACAGUGAGAUGAGCUACUUAUCAUUACGAUAGGUGUCAAGUAGAAGUGCAGUGAUGUAUGCAGCUGAGGCAUCCUAAUAGACCGGUAGACUUGAAC
rnacentral:rRNA from 1 species